ensembl:lncRNA
AAUAAUCGCACCAGCACCUCCGAGCGCACUGCCUUCAAAGCCAUGAUCAGACGCACCAGCAAAAACGAGGGACAGACGAAUCUCAGUGGCCAUCCGCAUGCAGAAGCCAUUAAAUCAAGUCAUCGUGGGGUGGUGGUUGGUGGUACACAACACAACACAACAGAGGAAAAAAUAACAAUAAUCGUGGGAUCACACAACCCGAAAUCAGUUUGUAUUGCUCCUUAUUGUUUUUGCUACAGGGGAGAAUCAAAACAGGAGCAGUGAGACACAUCACACAUGUGAUCCGCUCGCAGUCCACUCGCUACUAUCAUGGACAGCCCCAUAUGGGGUUCCAGAUCCGACACAACAACUGAUCUCUGGCCAAGGCCACUGCAAUGUAAACAGUCCAGGCGGUAGGCCCAUCCUAGCACUUAGGCGUGGUGGAGGAAUCAAGAGGAGACGG